UCUAAAAACCGUUGGGUUAUUUGUUUUACCCAACAGGUGGGUUAAACAUAUUGGGUUGUUGUGUUGGGUUAUUCGUAGCUUUUAUUGGGUUAUUUCUAUAACAACCCAGACCGAUGGGUUAAAAUCGGGCUCACGUCACGCAUUUUGAAUUUCAAUGGUCGACAGGUGCCACUGCUGAGUGCGGACAGACACGAGAGACAUUCUUGGAGAUGUUGCAUUAAAAACCCUACAAAAUGGCCAGCAAGAUGGUUCAGCCUUCCUACAGUACCAAGAGCCAAAGCAAACAUUUAUUAAUUUUCAACCUGUCAGAAAACAAACAUAAUUCAGUAUUUGGAGGAGGAGGUAUGACGAAGACCCCAUGUCCAGCUAUGGGAUGAAUUCGACUUAUCACAAGUAUUUGUUAUUGUGGGGAGGCAUGGCCCAGGAGGAAGACCAGCAGUUGACACAUGCUUUAAUAUUUCCAAGCCUUUCACUACUGUUAGGUAGUUUCUGUAACACACAAUACAUUUUGUACCAGGUAAUGUUUCCUUAACACACUGUCACCAGCUUAAGGGAUAGUUCCCCCCAAAAUAAAAAUUAUGUCAUAAUUUUCUUCCUCUCCUGUUGUUACAAACCUGUAUACAUUUCUUUGCUCUGAUGACCACAAAGGAAUGUUUGAAACCAAGCAGAUCAUGAGCCCCAUUGACUGUCAUAGUAGGAAAAAAGAAUACUAUAAAAGUGAAUGGGGCUCAUGAUCAGUUUGAUUUCAAACAUUCUUUGAAAUAUCUU